rfam:Triticum aestivum genome assembly, contig: Triticum_aestivum_CS42_TGACv1_scaffold_556127_7AL
CAAAUACUCCCUCCGUCCGGAAAUACUUGUCAUCAAAAUGGAUAAAAGGAAAUGUAUCUAGACGUAUUUUAGUUUUAGAUACAUCUCUUUUUAUCCAUUUUGAUGACAAGUAUUUGCGGGCGGAGGGAGUAGAAA